CAUCGGUAUGGGAUGGGGUCGCGUCCUAUCAGCUUGAUGGCGGGGUAACGGCCCACCAUGGCUUCGACGGGUAGCCGGCCUGAGAGGGCGACCGGCCACAUUGGGACUGAGAUACGGCCCAGACUCCUACGGGAGGCAGCAGUGGGGAAUAUUGCACAAUGGGCGCAAGCCUGAUGCAGCGACGCCGCGUGCGGGAUGACGGCCUUCGGGUUGUAAACCGCUUUUGACUGGGAGCAAGCCCUUCGGGGUGAGUGUACCUUUCGAAUAAGCACCGGCUAACUACGUGCCAGCAGCCGCGGUAAUACGUAGGGUGCAAGCGUUAUCCGGAAUUAUUGGGCGUAAAGGGCUCGUAGGCGGUUCGUCGCGUCCGGUGUGAAAGUCCAUCGCUUAACGGUGGAUCCGCGCCGGGUACGGGCGGG
rnacentral:rRNA from 1 species